AAAACAGAAAAAGAAAGAAAAAAUUCUUCUUUCGACGUUUCUUCUGCUUUCUGAGAUGUUGAACCAAUUGCCAUGGCGAUUUGAAGCUAGAGAAAUCAUAAAAUCCAUUCUGAUAAACGCUGUAAUGAUUGCUUGAAGAGGUGAAUACUGAGGGUAGCAAAUAUGAUUUAGAAGAGUCAAACCGAUGGUCAGAAACUUGGUAGAUUCACCGAGGACUUCUCCUAUUCCGAUCUCGUAAGAUACGAAGUCAAUAGUGCGAAGAACGAUGAGUUUGAGAUGGUUGUCGAUUUUGUCAAAUCAGAUAUCUUUGACAAAGAGAUAAUAAGAUUUGAAAGACAAUAAACGAUUGGAAUGGUUUUUAAUAUAUAGUCAGAAGAAGAUCUGAAGCAAUCAAUAUCUGAUCUAUUAAAAUUGAUUCGAAAACAUCUCUGGAAUAAUCUCCAGCCAAAUAACACUGGAAACAAAUAGAAAAAUAUAUAUUUGAAGUAUUAUCAACCAGUUCCAGAUACAAAGAUUAUGAAUUUCAUUAUUCUAUGAAGAUAACCAUGACUUUAAAAUUAAAGAUAAGGAGAGAUAAUGAGAUGAUUCAGAAAGGAACUAAUAGCAUAAGUACAUCAAACCCGAUAAAAGAUAAGUUUUACAGACUUUGACAUGCAUUUUUAAGUCAUUUUAAAGUCAUGUUUAUAGUAUAGAUGUUUGGUUGAUUUUGGUUAAACCCUGAUUUUGGUGGAGGGGAAAACAACAAAUUUAAUAAUAUCACUUCCAAUUUUAGUAUAAAUCUUGGAUUUUCUGGACAACUUUGAAAACAAUGAAAAUAAAUAUAGCAAAUAACAAAUGAAAGAAAAAAAGGCAAAUAAAUUAUCUGAAGCAUACUUUAUUAUAAGUAGUUUAACAAAAAACAUGCUUUAAAAACCAAAAAAUACCAAACCAUUAUUAAAAAACAAAAACACAAAUUGCUUCAGAAAGUAAGAAAACAAAUAAAACCAAAUAAUAAAAAUAGAAAUUUCAGGCCAGCAAAAUUAGGUGUUCUUGCUUGCUUCAGCCUCCAAAUCACUCAUCUUCUCCACCUUGAUAGCUUUUGAGCGAAGAUUCUUUGAAGUCGAAGUGAUUUCUGGGGCUGGGUCAGUCCAUGCUUCCUUUCUCUUUGUGGAUGGUGUGGACAUUCCUUCGAUGUGUUCUUGAUUGUCAAGGAGAUUGACAGAGCUCUUAGAAACUAAAAACAUUAACUUUAGCAAGACUCGUUGUUAAUAAUAAAAAUGCAGUAAAGGAUGUAAAGAUAAAUAACUGAAAAAAAAUAAGCAUACAAUCAUACCUCUUCUCCUCCACUUGUAAGAGCGAGAUCUUGAUCAGAAUGAGAAUUCUCUAGAUUGUCUUCUUCAGUGAAAACAUCCUUCUGUCUUUGUAGAUUUUCUCAACCUUGUAAAUUUCAGAUCCAUACAAAACAUGUCCCUUUUCCACAUAAAUUCCAAAUGUGAAAGUCUUCCCAACAACAGCAAAGAUGGGGUCGGGCAAAUCCGUAGGAUCCUCAAGCUUAACUACAAAAGAUUAAUUAACUAUAUUAGUAACAACUACGUAAUUUUGUAGCUAGGAAUAGAUGAGAGUAAACGUGGAUGGGUAUCGUUCCAUAUAUAUAGUAUUAGGCUGAUAUUAGGUUAGUCGAGGUCCUUAAAAGUCGCCUAAUAUUAUGGAAAAUCUAUGGUUUCAGUUAAAGAAAUCGAUUGAGUAGUGUGAUCAAGCAAAAAAUAAAAAUAACAUUUAUUGUUACCGAGAUAUUUACAUAUAUCAAUAUAUUUAAAAUUCUGUUGCCAUAAAGCAUCUAAUAGUAUCUAUGAUGAUAACAGAGAUAUACAUUUUUAGUUGAUGAAAAUACUUGAUGGCCAAGGUUUAAGAUAUGGUGCAUUAAAUUCGUAAUCACAUCCACGCUAUUAGAUAUUAUUAACUACUUCGUUUUUUCUCAUAAAAAUUAGCAAAUAAUUAUAUAAAUUUUACAAAUUAAUAACAUAUUGUGGUAUAUAAUUAGGAAAAUACAAUAGUUCAUGUUUAUUUACAAAACAAUCGGGAGUAUUAUCAUAUACGAAUUGUUAAACAGAUUGGGAUGUAAACCAGUUUGUAACAGAUUUGGAAUAUACCCUUGCCUUUUUUAAUUUAUAAACACAUAAAUGUUUUGUAGCAAAAAUAUAUUCGUUAUACCACUUUUAAAAAUAUAAUUAGUAAACAAUAAAACAAACUGGAUUGUAAAACAGAUGGUAUCGAAUUCGGAAUAUACCAUUGAAUAUUGUAUUUUAAAUUUGUUCCGAUUUUGUAACAACUACAUUUUCGUUUUUAAUAAAAAACAUUUAUUAUUAACUGGAUCAAAAUGAGUUUAGGGUUUAGGGUAUAAGAAGCAAACACUAAAACCAUUCUGUAAAAUUAGUAUAGGGUUUAGAUAGUGUAUUUUGGGGCAUAGUUUCGACAUUGUUGGGUUGGAAAUCACUCACUAUAAUGAUAUAAGUUUUGUAGGAAACGACCACUGAAGAGUAAUUUAACGUGAUUGUUAGGAAAGUGAGCUUAGGCUUCUUAAUUUUAAAGAUAAACAUAGUGGACUUUACUGAACAAACAAAAUACAUAAUAUCCAGUGGGUUAUGAUGUGGGCUGGACCCGAAAAAAACUACAUAAAAGUACUAUAUCGUGAGUAUUAAGAUUACCUGAGUACCCUUAAUUAUGCCUGCGAUUUCAAAAAAAGAAAAGGGCAAUUUUAGGUAAAAAAAAAAAUAGGAUCCGGGUAUUCUACAUAAUCUAAACAGCUUGUAACAAAAAUAAGAAAAUGGAGAUGAAACAGAGUCGGUUUGAGCUUGUCCAUGGGGGUCUUGGUGCAAGAUAGAACCACAUUAAAAAAAAAAAAAAGGGACCACAUUUCGAGGCUACCGGUCACAGCAUGAUUGCAGUGGAUUUGACUGCAUCGAAGUAUAAGCGCAAACAAAGUUGAAGAGAUGGAGAGUUUACAAGAUUAAACGAAACCGUUGCUUUUUUUUGUGCGCUCGCUUUAGAGAAAUACCAGAAGAACCCAUCUACACACUAAUAUUACAAAUCAUUUAAAUUUUCUAUUAACUUUAGUCUUGAUUUGAUCAGACAAGAACUUGGAGACUCUUCUUUUUCUCUCUCGACAGAAGCUUGGACAAAUCUUUCAUCUUUGUGUUUACUAUUUUUUUUUGGGGAAAAGUUAGUGAAAAAAUUAUAUAUUUCUCUCCUUAUUUAUAAUCACUAAUUAAUAAUAGUUUCCUAAACAUAAUUAAAUUAGAAUAUUAACUUUCCAAACUUACAUCUUAUAUAUUAAAACAGAAAUAACAACUUUGAUUCAUGUGUGAUUUUUUAAAUUGGACCCUCUAAGAAUUUUAUUAAACAUAUUUUUGUUUUAUCUAAACAUAUAUAAAAUUUAAACCUUAGUAUAGAUUAAAUAUUUGAUUUUCUUUACCUUACCAUCAAUCCAAACGUUAUAUCGUGAGCUGCUAUAGACGUGGACGAGAGAGAUCUAUAGAAUUUAAGAAUCAGUGGAAAUCAUUAUCAUCACCAUGCUUUCUAUGAGAAAAUCUACAGAAGCUAUGAUGCCCAAACCAAACCCUAAUCCAUAAAUUGAAGAGAGGAUCAAAGAGAAUCUUCAAAUGAUGCAAAAUCUUAGCAUCAUGAAUCUCUCCCGACAUCCAAUCAUCAAAAAACCGAUCCAUAACUCUAAGUAAUCAACUCUUCAGCUUCCUCCUUCACGGCAACCUUCCAGUUAAAAUCUUCGCUUCUCCUUCUAUGAUUCUCCUUUAACUGAUUGAAAGAUUAGGGUUUGAAAUUCACUUGAAAUUAGCGUUUAUAAUUUAUCCUUUGGAAUAUGAGUAAAUAUGAAUUGAAAUUAAGGUUCACGAGUUCUUUAUAGAAGAGGAUUUCAUGGUUUAUGAUUUUUUUAUUCUUGGCACUCAUGUUAUCUAAAACAAAGGUGUCAGUGUGAAACAUAGGAAAUGUAAGCGAGAGAGGUUGAUGAUUAGUGAAGGGUCAACGCUCGAGGUUUACAUAAAACAUGAGAAGCAGCUUGGGAACACAGAACGAAGCUGGAUUUGUUUUGUUGAUGGCUGUGGGUAAACAGAUUUAUGUUCCCUUUAAGGAACAUUAGUGACAAAUUGCCAUGAUCAAAACAGAGGAGAAAAGAUUGUGCUAGAUUCAUGUAAUGUAAGAAGAUAGGUCUUAAAAAGUUUCAAUAGCUAUGAAUUGGAAGAUACUCUGACGAUGGACAAGCUCCACUUGCACGUGUAAAAAGACGUUACUUCAGUAAACUCAAAGGCGAUGAGCGAGAUGUUCUUCCUCAACGGCGAGAUAUGUCUUCUUCUAUGACUUGAAUGCUUUUUAGCGUCAGAUCGGGAUAGAAGUGCCAUCGAAGGCCUUCAUAUAACCCAUGCUCUCGAGAUCAAGGAAUUUGACGGCGGAUACUUACACUCAGGAGGAUAGAGAUCAAUAUUCCACUUUGAAUGAAGAAGUGCAACAGCAACUUCUUUGAUCGUGAGGUCUCUUACAUGAUCUGACUGUCCUCUGGCCUUAGAUCAAUUCAGAUAUUUAAUCCCAGCAGUUUCACUUCAGAGUUUUGAUUUGGUUGGAUGGAGAUCAGUCACUACUUCUAUCGUAUAUAGGUUGUGGUUUGAUGAUGUGUUUCUAGGAUCUGUUAGUCCAUUGGCUACAGAGUGGUUCUUAUGAUCUGAGUUCUUUAUAACUAAAGUUAUCCUCAUUGGCCCGUGGUAUCAUUGUUAUUCAGCGAACAAAAUAAUCAAUCCACUGAACUAAUCAUUUAAAGUUGUUGA